rnacentral:rRNA from 1 species
GACGCUGGCGGUAGGCUUAACACAUGCAAGUCGUGCGAGAAAAUAUCUUCGGAUAUGAGUAAAGCGGCGGACGGGUGAGUAACGCGUAGGAAUCUACCUAGUAGAAGGGGAUAGCCCGAGGAAACUCGGAUUAAUACCGUAUACCUCCUUUGGGAGAAAGAGGGCCUCUCUUUGAAGCUUUCGCUAUUAGAUGAGCCUGCGUAAGAUUAGCUUGUUGGUGAGGUAAAGGCUCACCAAGGCAACGAUCUUUAGCGGGUCUGAGAGGACGAUCCGCCACAUUGGGACUGAGACACGGCCCAGACUCCUACGGGAGGCAGCAGUGGGGAAUAUUGGACAAUGGGCGCAAGCCUGAUCCAGCCAUACCGCGUGUGUGAAGAAGGCCCUAGGGUUGUAAAGCACUUUAAGUUGGGAAGAAAAGUUAUUGGUUAAUACCCAAUAACCGUGACAUUACCAUCAGAAUAAGGACCGGCUAAUUCCGUGCCAGCAGCCGCGGUAAUACGGAAGGUCCAAGCGUUAAUCGGAAUUACUGGGCGUAAAGCGCGCGUAGGUGGUUUAUUAAGUUGGAUGUGAAAUCCCCGGGCUCAACCUGGGAACUGCAUCCAAAACUGAUUCACUAGAGUACGAUAGAGGGAGGUAGAAUUCACAGUGUAGCGGUGGAAUGCGUAGAUAUUGUGAAGAAUACCAAUGGCGAAGGCAGCCUCCUGGAUCUGUACUGACACUGAGGUGCGAAAGCGUGGGUAGCGAACAGGAUUAGAUACCCUGGUAGUCCACGCUGUAAACGAUGUCAACUAGCUGUUGGGAAGCUAUGCUUUUCAGUGGCGCAGCUAACGCAAUAAGUUGACCGCCUGGG